CUCAAACGAGGAUUUGAAAAGCGAAUAUGACCAGUUGAAGAUAGAGAAUACUAAACUGAAAGAGAAGGCUUCUGUUUUACUUGGUUAAUGAUUUGUAGAAACUAGAAGAUAAAUUAAAGAAAAAGCAGGACCUCUCGAAGCAAGCAAAAAUUUGUAAGGAAGAAUGUCAGUGUUUGCAAGAACAGAUCAAUAAAAUAAAACAACAACAUUUACUGGAGGAUUCUCGCUGUAAUCUUAUUGAAAGCAAAAUAAAUGAUUCAAACAGCAAUUUAUGUGAGCUAGAAAACAACAUUUUGGAACUAAAGACAGAGUAUUAUAAUCUUCAAGCAAAAAAAGAAUUUGAUUCCGAAAAAAUGGAACACCCUCAAUUGAUGGAUAAGGUAAAAAAAGAAAAAAACGACAUGAAAAUAAAAUAUAAUCAAAU